rnacentral:lncRNA from 1 species
UUCGUUACCGUAAACCAGCUCCUCCAUCCUCCCAAUCUUCAACCUCUCAUUUUCUUUCAUUUUUUUCAAAUCAGUCAAAUCUAAAAGCUUGACAAAGCCCUUCAAAACCAUUUUUAAAUCUUGCAUGUCUUAAUUUGUCUCUAACCAGAUUCAAGGAAGUAGUAGGGGAUAACAAACAAAAUAUGAAGAACUUGAGUCAAAGUAGCAAUUCGAGAAAAAGGGAGCUCAACAACCAAUUUAAUCAAAACAUCGUCUUCUCCCUUAUCAUAAACUGUGAGUUCUAUUUAUUAAAGGUUUUUGUUGUGAUUAGUGAUUUAAUUUUCUGAAGUUGUUUAGAAGAAAAUAGGAAUGGAAGAAAAAACUCACAUAGGUUUAACGAUUUCAUUGAAAAUGUCAAUAAGUUAAAACGUGCAUGUUGUUUAUCGUUGGGAUAUUUGUGGAGGAAUUAUAUGUUAGGAAAAUUUUACUUAGAUGUGCAUAACUAGAUUUAAAGUGAUUAUACUUGUCGAGCACGAUUUAUGCAUGUUACUGCAGUUGCCUGUGACGUGUUUGUGAAAUUGUGUUAUGUUAUAUUAAUUUCGUCUAGUAUGAGGAUUUUGGGCGCUGAAAGUUUUUUUUGAAUAAACUGUUUUUGGUUAUUACGGAUUAGGAGAAUUAGAGUGUGAUGAAAUGGAAAUUUUGCAUAUAGGUGUUUUUAAAACUGCAUCCAAAUGAUUUUUGAUGACUUUUAUGUUGUUAUUAAUUUCAUGACUUUGAUGUUGUUACUAUUCUCAUGACUCCAAUAUUGUUUCUCUUUUCUGUCUAUGAAUUUACGUUUUGAAUUAAGGACUUAAGAUUAAAAUUAUUAUGGGUUUAGUAUAUCGUCUAAGUUAUUUAUAAUAGUUGUGGAUGAAUGAUGCAUUUUAUAUAUGACAUAACAAGUGCAUUUUAUACAAAACAUUUCAAGUUUAGUACAAUAUCAUUAAUCAAAUUAUGCAUGAUCUUAUUCACAGUGGGACGUUUAGGUUAUUCUAGGCAUGGAAUAACAUGUCAAGGAGAACAAUCAAGACGCUGAUUGGGGUUUGACCAGACCACCUUUACCAAUCAGGACUCAAUUAUCUUAGUGACUCACAUUAAGAUAUUGGGCGACUUUUCCUUAUUCCAAAGGAAAAGAUUUGAGGUCAUGCAUAUGAUAAUUUUAUCAUAAGAUGUAUAAUUAUUUUUCAUGUUUUAUACACUUUUAUGAAUGAAACUCUUUGAAAUUGUUUUUCCCUUUUAUUUUUAGAGCUCACUGAGAUAUUUUAUCUCACCCCGAUUAUUAAUAUUUAUAUUUAGCAGCUGGAGGAACAUGAGACAUGAAAUUAGCAUCAGAAGAUCAGUUCCAAACUCGUUGAAUUAUAAUUUAAUAUUUUGUUUUAUGAUGUAAUCAGUCAAUAGUAGUUUGUUUUCAAUAUGUAAUAUUUUAUGAAUCCAC